GCCUGGUAACGAGCCGUUCAUUUGAAUCAGGUGUGUUGGAGCACGCAGGGCAGUGGAAGAAUUAGGAGUUGCUUUGGAAUUUCCAGACUUUUUAAAUGGCUUGUUUGUCUCAGCUGUCUGCUUAGACAAAACCAAACUUUCAGAAAAAUCACGUCAAAUCCAGCACGAUUCCGCAUUUCACGGCUGGUUCAAUUUCUACUGUUAAAUUCUGUGAUUCCGUUGGAUGUUUUUCCCACUGCGGAAAUCAAAGGGCCCUACAUAUGCGUCCUAUCAGCUUAGUUAGUUAAUAUUGGGCAAUUUCCAGGUCAGCUGAAUCAGGUGUGUUGGAGCAAGGAAACAAGUUGGUCCCCAGGACCAGGACUGAGAAAACCUGGUUUAACACAUGGCUGUGGAUGAAUUUGGUGACUUGCUAAUAAAAACUGCUCCUUAACGCAACCAUCUCAUCAGCCAAUAAAGUGGACAGUCAAGAAAAGCAAAAUGGGGAAAACCUUAUUGAUUUAAGUGACUCUGAACGUGACAUGGCUGGGUUGAAUAUGUCAGACACCGCUUUUAUCUCUAGAAUGAACAGAAAAUGGUCAAGAAAAAGGGAACAUUUCCUGUAAACGGCAGUUAUCGGGGUGAAAAUGUUUUGUAGCGGUCGGAGGAGAAUGACCAGACUGUUUUGAAAUGACUGAAAUAACCACCUUUUACAACCAAUGUAGGAAGAUCGUCUCUCAACUCACAUCUGAUAACACAGAAGUGGAUGGGCUACGACACCAGGGUCCAUCAUUUUAAGCUAAAGAAGAACAAAAAAGCAAAGACACAUUUCACGGGAGGUAGAGAGAGGAGCUGCGUGAAGGCAGGACGGGUGCGUCUGAAAGAGCGACAAGAACCACAAGAAAUCCACCUUCCUCCACAGAUGUUGAGGCAGGAUGUGAGGAAGGCGAGAGUGGAGACUGCCCUUUUAUGCUGCCCCGUGGAAACCCCCGGUGGAUGAUUACUGAGCCUAAUGAUAAUGAUGAUGACUAUAAUGAUCACUCUCUCUGACAAAGAGUCAUGCUGGGAAAUACGAGCUGCCGGUGCCAUUUCUCUUACCGCUGCACAGAGGGGCUUCACUUCAUCACUGGCAACCCAACAGUAAAGUCCUUUAUGUAGGAUAGCCACCUCACAAGUGACCCCACCUCUACAUUUCCUUUACUGGUCGAGCCACUGUGGGACUUAACUGAAAUGAACCCUAUGUGAUCCUCACACUUUUCUAAUCAACAGACAUUCUUUUAAAAGUGCCCUUGACUACCUUUUAAAGAUCCAAACAAAUGUAUUACCAUUUUAAGUGGGUGGAAUAAUGCUUAAACAAAGAUAAGCAGAUAAGGGAUAAUUGCAACAUUGGAAAACACAGGUUCAGACUGUCUACAAUACACAGGAGGGAUUCUCAGGAAACACAGUUUUAGCACAACAAUAUUGGCUGUACUGUUUUCCUUUCCACACUGUAGCAGAGCUGCACAGCAGUGAGUUAAUGCUAAACCCAACCUAAUAUCUUCUGCUUCAUGAUACAAGUGUGCAAGCAGUGAAACACACUGGGGGCUUUUAUUAUGAAGCAGUCACAAGAACCACGAUUACACAGUUCACCACUGACCACCACUGACCAUCAUCAACA